AACCCAGGAACAGAAAAAACAGAACGAUAAAACCUAGUGUGUGGAGUGAUGGGUUUUAGUUUAUAAAAAUAGAAUCCAGAGCAGCCACAGCGACUGCGGCUAC